rnacentral:rRNA from 1 species
GAGUUUGAUCGUGGCUCAGAUUGAACGCUGGCGGCAUGCCUUACACAUGCAAGUCGAACGGCAGCACGGGAGCUUGCUCCUGGUGGCGAGUGGCGAACGGGUGAGUAAUGCAUCGGAACGUAUCCUGGAGUGGGGAUAACGUAGCGAAAGUUACGCUAAUACCGCAUAUUCUGUGAGCAGGAAAGCGGGGGACCUUCGGGCCUCGCGCUCUUGGAGCGGCCGAUGUCGGAUUAGCUAGUUGGUGAGGUAAAGGCUCACCAAGGCGACGAUCCGUAGCAGGUCUGAGAGGAUGAUCUGCCACACUGGAACAGAGACACGGUCCAGACUCCUACGGGAGGCAGCAGUGGGGAAUUUUGGACAAUGGGGGCAACCCUGAUCCAGCCAUGCCGCGUGAGUGAAGAAGGCC